UUUUGAUUUUAACAAUAUAAAUAAUAAAGUAAAGUUUUUAUUUGAAAAUUAAUCCCUUCAUGUAUCACUAUUUUCGAUAUGCAAAUACACUUUAACGAGUUAUAAAUGCAUAGAGUUCGAAGUACCCUCCAAAAUAAGUAUACCUCGCCUAAACCUGUGAUGCUAUGUUCCUAUCACAUUGACGUCAGUUUACCCCACAUAUUCUUUAUUCAGGAGACGUCUGC
rnacentral:lncRNA from 1 species